rnacentral:rRNA from 1 species
GCCAGGAAAUUACGAGCCCAAGCUUAAAACCCAAAGGACUUGACGGUGCCUCACCUACCUAGAGGAGCCUGUUCUAUAAUCGAUUCUCCCCGAUCCACCUCACCACUUCUUGAACAUCAGCCUGUAUACCUCCGUCGCAAGCCUACCAUGUGAACGUACGCAGUGGGCCUCAAGAUUUAUACAUCUACACGUCAGGUCAAGGCGCAGCCUACGAAGCGGGAAGAAAUGGGCUACAAUCUCUAUACUAGAACAAACAGAGGACUACAUGCAACAUAGUCACCAAGGCGGAUUUAGCAGUAAAAAGAAAAUAGAGAGUUCUUUUUAAUCAAGCCCUGAGGCGCGUACACACCGCCCGUCACCCUCUUCAAAUGACAAAACAACGUUACUAACACUUUCUCGUCCCACAGAAGAGGCAAGUCGUAACACGGUAAGCGUACUGGAAAGUGCGCUUGGAAUAACAAAAUAUAGCUUAACAAAAGUACCUUGCUUACACCGAGGACAUGUCUGUAAAAACCUGACUAUUUUGAGCCAAAAACCUAGCCUUAAUAACCCAAAUGUUAUAACAACCAAAAAAAGACAUAAUAAAACAUUUUCUUAACUCAGUAAAGGCGAUUAAAAAGUUAAUAAGAG